GAUGAACGCUGGCGGCGUGCCUAAUACAUGCAAGUCGAGCGAACGGACGAGAAGCUUGCUUCUCUGAUGUUAGCGGCGGACGGGUGAGUAACACGUGGAUAACCUACCUAUAAGACUGGGAUAACUUCGGGAAACCGGAGCUAAUACCGGAUAAUAUUUUGAACCGCAUGGUUCAAAAGUAAAAGACGGUCUUGCUGUCACUUAUAGAUGGAUCCGCGCUGCAUUAGCUAGUUGGUAAGGUAACGGCUUACCAAGGCAACGAUGCAUAGCCGACCUGAGAGGGUGAUCGGCCACACUGGAACUGAGACACGGUCCAGACUCCUACGGGAGGCAGCAGUAGGGAAUCUUCCGCAAUGGGCGAAAGCCUGACGGAGCAACGCCGCGUGAGUGAUGAAGGUCUUCGGAUCGUAAAACUCUGUUAUUAGGGAAGAACAUAUGUGUAAGUAACUGUGCACAUCUUGACGGUACCUAAUCAGGAAGCCACGGCUAACUACGUG
rnacentral:rRNA from 1 species